AUGACCCGACCGAAAAGUUUGGGAGGACUUGGCUUUCGGGAUAUAGAAAUCUUCAACUUGGCACUUUUGUCUCGGCAAAUUUGGAGAUUAUUGAAUGAUCCCUCCUCUCUUAGUGCACAAAUCCUUAAAGCAUCAUAUUUUCCACAAUGUACAGUCCUUGAAGCUCAACUAGGUCCACAUCCUUCUCAGGUGUGGCGAUCUAUACUUGAUGGGAGAGAUAUUAUCACCCAAGGAGCUAUCCGGCGUAUUGGUGAUGGAACUACCACGAACAUAUGGCAACAUAGUUGGAUCCCAAGGGACGGAAUGAUGAAGCCGGUAGCCUCCUUAGUUGUUGACCCACCGCAACUGGUUUCUGAUCUGAUCGACCACACUAGAGCUGCGUGA
rnacentral:rRNA from 1 species